rnacentral:lncRNA from 1 species
UAAGGCCUUAGUGUAAACACUUAAGAUCCUCUGGCCCAUUUGGAGACCUACUCGUGUGGUCAGCGUGGGAGACAAAGCUCCUGAGUAAGUUCCCCUGCUUCUUCAACCCGCCACCUGCGCAGGUGGAGUAGCCUGCCUGGUCCCCUGGUUCUCCUGGCCUCCCUCCUUGGGGUGGGAGGGGGCAGUGUCAGAUUUCACCCAGAGAACUCCUGAGGGUGCCACCCAACAGCCUUGAAGGCCUUUGAUCACUUAAAGAUAUGCCCCUGACUCUGACAGGUAUUCUGCAUUUUAUAAAAUCAGUAACUUCCAGUGUUAUUUCCCUUUCCAUCCAAGAGGUGUUUAGAAGGAGGGUGGCCAGUUUCCAGAAGGAAUGCUUUUUACGUUCUGCUGCUGCUGCAUCUUAGCCUUAUCAGAUCAUUUUCUCAGAAUAUUGUUUGUUAUAUCUCUGUUUUCUGUAGAACCUAAAAGGACAAGAAUGAUUUCAGUGCAGGAAAAAAAAAAGAGACUGAAGUGAACCAGGGACAAAUACUCAGUUCUGAGAUAAAUAGUCUCUAUUCCAGACCUUUUCUGCUGAAGAAUAUAUCAAUUUAUCAACUUAAAGGCAAAUAAAUCUGAAAUAAAUGCAGCCUCAUGCCUGUUAAGAGUCUAUUCUGCUAUUUUACCUGCAUACUUUUCUUUGGGGUCUGUCCUCAUGGUUGUGGGGAACAGCUCUGUUACAACCUGGCUGCCACCACUGGCCAUGGCACCUGGUGAUUGAUUUUUGUGACCCAGUAUCGGAUCAGUGUUUCUGAUGGGUUCACGUGCAGUAGAGAGGAAGGCGUGUUCCUUGUCAUCAGGGUGUCAUUUAUUUUGACAAAUGAUCUAUGGACAUAAAUUCAGAGUUAGUGAGAAGUUGCAGGAGUGCUUGCACACGUGCAAAAUACACAAACACACACAUAGACCCAGCCAUGCAUAUAGCACCUCCUUGGUAUGUUGUCUAAAACAGGUAAAUAGAACUAUAAAUAGGAAUAACUAUAGUUUUAUGUAUCACUAUAUCUAUGUAGUACCUUAUUUUUUAAGAUUUUAUUUAUUUAUUCAUGAGAGACACAGAGGGAGGCAGACACAGGCAGAGGGAGAAGCAGACUCCCCACAGAGCAGGGAGCCCGAUGUGGGACUCGAUCCCAGGACCCUGGGAUCACAACCUGCGCCAAGGUAGACACUCAACUGCUGAGCCACCCAGGUGCCCCAGAUUUUUCCUUUUUCUUACACUAGCACAUACAACCAUAAAUUGUCCUCUAAGUACUAUGUUAGCUGCUUCUCAUAAAUUUUGAUAUGUUGCAUUUUAUUUUUAUCACUUCAAAAUACUUUAUUUUUCCUUUUAAUAUAUUCCUUGAAAUAGACAUUAUUAUAAGUGUGUUGUUUAAUUUCCAACUAUUUGGGAAAUCUCCCGGUAUAUUGCUAUGAUUAAUUUCCCUUUUGGUCAAGUACACUUUUAAAAUAUUUUUAUUUUUUUAUUUUUUAUUUUUUUUAAAGAUUUAUUAUUUAUUUAUUCAUGACAGAGAGAGACAGAGAGAGAGAAAUAGAGAGAGAGAGAGAGGCAGAGGGAGAAGCAGUCUCCCUGCAGGGAUCCUGACAAUCCCGGGUCUCCAGGAUCACACCCUGGGCUGAAGGCAGCCCUAAACCACUGGGCCACCGGGGCUGCCCUAAAAUAUUUUUAAUUUACUAAAUGUAUUGAGAUUUGUUUUGUGUUUACAAUAUUGUGAUGAGUAUUCCAAGUGCAUUUAUUAUUUUUUUAUCUGUUUUUUUGUCUGGAGUGUUAGUGGGGGCCAAUUAGUUCAAGUAGCUUGAUGAUAUUGUUCAAAUUUCUUAUAUACUUACCUUCUUUUAAAAAGAUUUUAUUUAUUUAUUCAUGAGAGACACAGAGAGAGAGGCAGAGACAAAGAAAGAGGGAGAAGCAGGAUGUGGGACUCGAUCCCAGGACCCCGAGAUCAUGAUCUGAGCCUAAAGCAGAGCUACCCAGGUACCCCAGUAUUUACUUGUUGAGGCCUUACUCUCAAAUGCUUUAUAGAUGUGUACUUGCUAGUGCAUUCCUUUCCACCAGUGCAUAUCCUCAUCUCCGAUGGUGGAAGUUUUAACAUUUGGUCCACACAACCCUGUGCAUGGGUUUUUUGUUCUCCUACCACCAUACUACCCAAAGAAGGGAAGUUUCCAUUUCCAGCCAGGACAUGAAUGACCCAGUUUCAAAACCCCAUCUCAUUGCCCACUUUCUUGGACCAUGUCUGAUAUUAAAUGUUAGAUUCUCUAGUGCAAGAUGCUAAACUGGAAUUUUGAGUGCAAGAUAAUCAAUAAAGGAUUAACGUCUCUUAAAAGGGAGAAAGGGGAUGGGAGAAAGGGGGAUAUGGAAUUGUGAUCCAAGAGCAGGAAAGCCCCAGGCAACCUGGUGGAGGGCUCGGGGCAAGUUUUGCCAUCAGAGUUGUCCACAGCAGGAACAGCUGGGCUCGUAUCCCAGCCUAGCUCAGUCCCUGGAUGCAAGUGGCCCUGGGAAGAAUGUGACCUUGUGUCAGAUGGGCUUCUGCAGGGAAGGCAGAUCCAGAAGGAACCGACAGCUAGAGGCUGUCUCCUGAUCCUGCUCUCCAGAGCUUCCUUGAAUGGAGAAUUCAAUGAAAGAGCUUCAUGUCCACCGCAGGAACAUGGAAGCAUCAUAACUCAGUAAUACGAGAAUAUCACCAUGGUACCAUCAAUAAGCAUCAUCAAGGAGGUUUAUUGACCCGCAAAUAAUGGAAUCAGAUCUUAUGAAAGGGAAUCUAAUGCUUUCUGAUUUCCAAAUGUGGCCAGUUUAUCUAAGUAACAGAUUGUGAAUAUUGAACAUUUCUGAACAGAUUUUCAUACUGAAUUCUUAAAUACUUUCGGUCUCCUACUCAGAAAAUCAUUCAUGUUACCCCACGCUUAGGAAUACAGUUUGACUGUCAUAGAUGGAGUGAAAAGAGUAGACCUAGAUUUCCAGUACACAUGGGAACUUUUAGGAAACAGGGUCGGUGUCAUCAGGACAUUGAGUUUUUAUUUGGACUAGUGAUGCCCAGGGCCAAGCAUGCAGCUUAGAAAGUCAGGUAAGAGAUGUCAAAAAGGCUGGCACCUACCUGCUUCCUUCCAAAGACCCUGAGAUGCUGAACUGACUUUCCCCCAAAUUUCCCUUCCAUCCCCAAAGUCCUUCUUGUAAUCCAGAUCCUUUUAUUUACUGUGAAUUCACUCUAGACUCUUUCGAGUAUACAAAACAGACUCCUAUUUACCCAAUAAAGACUAGAAAGUAGUUUUCCACAGAUUUGAAUUUAUCAUAGGUGGUAAUCUGAUAACCCGGAGGCCAGCCUCACCCUAAUCUCUGAGGUGUUCCUCCCGACUGGUCGAUCCAUUUCUGGAGGAGAAUGUGCAGCAUUUAGCCCAAACUUUCUUCAACUUAAAAAUAGAUAAAAGAUAUACUAUUGAAAGGAGACUCUGGGAAGCAGAUAAUUUCAAACAUUAAAAUAAUCCAUAUAGGGAUCCUUGGGUGGCGCAGCGGUUUGGUGCCUGCCUUUGGCCCAGGGCACGAUCCUGGAGACCUGGGAUCGAAUCCCACAUCAGGCUCCCGGUGCAUGGAGCCUGCUUCUCCCUCUGCCUAUGUCUCUGCCUCUCUCUCUCUCUCUGUGACUAUCAUAAAUAAAUAAAAAAAUAAAAAUAAAAAAUAAAAAAAAAUAAAAUAAAAUAAAAUAAUCCAUAUAUAGGAUCCAUUGAAUUUGGCCAUCAUAUGAAAAAUGUUAAAACCUCCCAUUGAGAUUCAAGAGCAGGUAACCAAGAACAGGUAACCUGGGAUGGUUUCGUCUCUUGCUCCAUGUUUGCUGGUGUGUUUGAUUCAUUGUUUUGCAUGUAUGUUGGCAUAAUAUAAGACAAAAACUAAUUAAUUACAUACCCAGUUAAAUAUGUUCAUCAGAGGAGAUCAUUGUUUUAGAGCAUAGAGGCACAGACAGUAAGCACAAAAUAAAAGAUACAUCCCUUUAGGGGCACCUGGUGGCUCAGUAGUUGAGCAUCUGCCUUUGGUUCAGGUCAUGAUCCCAGGGUUCUGGGAUGGAGUCCCCUCUGCCUGUGUCUCUACCUCUCUCUCUCUGUCUCAUGAAUAUAUAAAUAAAAUCUUAAAAAAAAAA